rnacentral:rRNA from 1 species
AGGACGAACGCUGGCGGCGUGCUUAACACAUGCAAGUCGAGCGGUAAGGCUCCUUCGGGAGCACACGAGCGGCGAACGGGUGAGUAACACGUGAGCAAUCUGCCCUUCACACUGGGAUAACCCCGGGAAACCGGGGCUAAUACCGGGUAUGACCUGUCACCGCAUGGUGGUGGGUGGAAAGUUCUGGCGGUCAGGGAUGGGCUCGCGGCCUAUCAGCUAGUUGGUGAGGUAAUGGCUCACCAAGGCUUCGACGGGUA